CCACUGCUAUUGGGAUCCGACUAAGCCAUGCGUGUCGAGAGGGUUCGGCCCUCGGCAGACUGCUCAGUAACACGUGGAUAAUCUACCCUUAGGUGGAGGAUACUCUCGGGAAACUGAGAAUAAUACUCCAUAGGUCUAGGAUGCUGGAAUGCACCUAGGUUGAAAGUUCCGGCGCCUAAGGACGAGUCUGCGGACUAUCAGGUUGUAGUCAGGGUAAUGACCUGACUAGCCUACGACGGAUACGGGUUGUGAGAGCAAUAACCCGGAGAUGAUAUCUGAGACACGAUAUCAGGCCCUACGGGGCGCAGCAGGCGCGAAAACUUCACAAUGUGCGGAAGCGCGAUGAGGGAAUCCCAAGUGCUUGCACGUAAGUGUAAGCUGUUUUUAUGUUUAAAAAGCAUAGAGAGUAAGAGCUGGGGUAAGACGGGUGCCAGCCGCCGCGGUAAUACCUGCAGCUCGAGUGGUGGCCGCUAUUAUUGGGCCUAAAAUGUCCGUAGCCGGUUUAAUAAAUGCCCGGGUAAAUCGUGUAGCUUAACUAUACGAAUUCCGGGUAGACUGUUAAACUUGAGACCGGGAGAAGUUAGAGGUACUCCUGGGGUAGAGGUGAAAUUCUGUAAUCCUAGGGGGACCACCGGUGGCGAAGGCGUCUGACUAGAACGGGUCUGACGGUGAGGGACGAAGCCCUGGGGCGCAAACCGGAUUAGAUACCCGGGUAGUCCAGGGUGUAAACGCUGCUUGCUUGAUGUUGGUUGGGCUCCGAGCCCAAUCAGUGUCGGAGAGAAGUUGUUAAGCAAGCUGCCUGGGAAGUACGGUCGCAAGGCUAAAAC
rnacentral:rRNA from 1 species